rnacentral:rRNA from 1 species
AGCUCCAAUAGCGUAUAUUAAAGUUGUUGCGGUUAAAAGCUCGUAGUUGGAUUUCUGCUGAUGACGACCGGUCCGCCCUCUGGGUGAGCAUCUGCCUCGGCCUUGGGAUCUUCUUAAUGAAUGUAUCUGCACUUGAUUGUGUGGUGCGGUACCCAAGACUUUUACUUUCAGGAAAUUAUAUUGUUUCAAGCAGGCAUACGCCUUGAAUACAUUAGCAUGGAAUAAUAAGAUAGGACCUCGGUUCUAUUUUGUUGGUUGCUAGAGCUGAGGUAAUGAUUAAUAGGAAUAGUUGGGGGAAUUCGUAUUUAACUGUCAGAGGUGAAAUUAUCGGAUUUGUUAAAGACGGACUACUGCGAAAGCAUUUGCCAAGGCUGUUGUCA